rnacentral:rRNA from 1 species
GACGAACGCUGGCGGCGUGCCUAGUACAUGCAAGUAGGACGCACAGUUUAUACCGUAGCUUGCUACACCAUAGACUGUGAGUUGCGAACGGGUGAGUAACGCGUAGGUAACCUGCCUGGUAGCGGGGAUAACCUUUGGAAACCAUAACCAAUAACGCAUAAAAUUAAUUAUUUGAUUAUAAUUGAAUUAAAGAUGCAACUGCCUCACCUCCAGAUGGAACUGCGUUGUAUUAGCUAGUAGGUGAGGUAACGGCUCACCUAGGCGACGAUACAUAGCCGACCUGAGAGGGUGAUAGGCCACACUGGGACUGAGACACGGCCCAGACUCCUACGGGAGGCAGCAGUAGGGAAUCUUCGGCAAUGGACGAAAGUCUGACCGAGCAACGCCGCGUGAGUGAAGAAGGUUUUCGGAUCGUAAAGCUCUGUUGUAAGAGAAGAACGGGUGUGAGAGUGGAAAGUUCACCCUGUGACGGUAGCUUACCAGAAAGGGACGGCUAACUACGUG